rnacentral:rRNA from 1 species
GACGAACGCUGGCGGCGUGCUUAACACAUGCAAGUCGAACGGAAAGGCCCUGCUUUUGUGGGGUGCUCGAGUGGCAAACGGGUGAGUAACACGUGAGUAACCUGCCCUUGACUUUGGGAUAACUUCAGGAAACUGGGGCUAAUACCGGAUAGGAGCUCCUGCUGCAUGGUGGGGGUGGGAAAGUUUCGGCGGUUGGGGAUGGACUCGCGGCUUAUCAGCUUGUUGGUGGGGUAGUGGCUUACCAAGGCUUUGACGGGUAGCCGGCCUGAGAGGGGGACCGGCCACAUUGGGACUGAGAUACGGCCCAGACUCCUACGGGAGGCAGCAGUGGGGAAUAUUGCACAAUGGGCGGAAGCCUGAUGCAGCAACGCCGCGUGCGGGAUGACGGCCUUCGGGUUGUAAACCGCUUUCGCCUGUGACGAAGCGUGAGUGACGGUAAUGGGUAAAGAAGCACCGGCUAACUACGUG